GGCACGGGGGGCCUACGGGAGGCAGCAGUGGGGAAUAUUGCACAAUGGGCGCAAGCCUGAUGCAGCCAUGCCGCGUGUAUGAAGAAGGCCUUCGGGUUGUAAAGUACUUUCAGCGGGGAGGAAGGGAGUAAAGUUAAUACCUUUGCUCAUUGACGUUACCCGCAGAAGAAGCACCGGCUAACUCCGUGCCAGCAGCCGCGGUAAUA
rnacentral:rRNA from 1 species